rnacentral:rRNA from 2 species
UUUGACCUCAGAUCAGGCAAGACUACCCGCUGAAUUUAAGCAUAUUAAUAAGCGGAGGAAAAGAAACUAACAAGGAUUCCCUCAGUAACGGCGAGUGAAGUGGGAAUGGCUCAAGCUUGAAAUCUCUGUUGCUUGCAACAGCGAAUUGUAGUCUCGAGAAGCGUUUUCCCGGCGGAUCUACCCUGCCUAAGUUGCUUGGAACAGCACAUCAGAGAGGGUGACAAUCCCGUUUGUGGCAGGGCAGACCGUUCAUGAUACGCUUUCCAUGAGUCGGGUUGCUUGGGAAUGCAGCCCAAAAUUGGUGGUAAACUCCAUCUAAAGCUAAAUAUUGCCACGAUACCGAUAGCAAACAAGU